GACGAACGCUGGCGGCGUGCUUAACACAUGCAAGUCGAACGGAAAGGCCCAGCUUGCUGGGUGCUCGAGUGGCGAACGGGUGAGUAACACGUGGGUGAUCUGCCUCUAACUUCGGGAUAAGCUUGGGAAACUGGGUCUAAUACCGGAUAGGACAAUCGUCUAGUGUCGGUUGUGGAAAGUUUUUUCGGUUAGGGAUGAGCCCGCGGCCUAUCAGCUUGUUGGUGGGGUAAUGGCCUACCAAGGCGUCGACGGGUAGCCGGCCUGAGAGGGUGGACGGCCACAUUGGGACUGAGAUACGGCCCAGACUCCUACGGGAGGCAGCAGUGGGGAAUAUUGCACAAUGGGCGCAAGCCUGAUGCAGCGACGCCGCGUGGGGGAUGACGGCCUUCGGGUUGUAAACCUCUUUCGACAGGGACGAAGCUUUGGUGACGGUACCUGUAUAAGAAGCACCGGCUAACUACGUG
rnacentral:rRNA from 1 species